rnacentral:rRNA from 1 species
AUUGAACGCUGGCGGCAGGCUUAACACAUGCAAGUCGAACGAGUGGCGGACGGGUGAGUAACGCUUGGGAAUCUUGCCUUUGGAGGGGGAUAACUACGGGAAACUGUAGCUUAUACCCCGUACCAUAGGAUGAGCCUAUGUGGGAUUGGGUAGUUGGUGGGGUAACGGCUAGCCAAGCCGACGAUCACUAGCUGGUCUGAGAGGAUGACCGGCCACACUGAGACUGAGACACGGCCCAGACUCCUACGGGAGGCAGCAGUGGGGAAUAUUGGACAAUGGGGGCAAGCCUGAUGCAGCCAUGCCGCGUGUAUGAAGAAGGCCUUAGGGUUGUAAAGUACUUUCGGCAGGAAGGCGUUACCCGCAGAAAAAGCACCGGCUAACUCCGUGCCAGCCGCCGCGGUAAUUC